UACGAAGGGUGCAAGCGUUAAUCGGAAUUACUGGGCGUAAAGGGUGCGUAGGCGGUUCGUUAAGUCUGUCGUGAAAUCCCCGGGCUCAACCUGGGAAUGGCGAUGGAUACUGGCGAGCUAGAGUGUGUCAGAGGAUGGUGGAAUUCCCGGUGUAGCGGUGAAAUGCGUAGAGAUCGGGAGGAACAUCAGUGGCGAAGGCGGCCAUCUGGGACAACACUGACGCUGAAGCACGAAAGCGUGGGGAGCAAAUAGG
rnacentral:rRNA from 1 species